CGUCGAGCUACUGAAGCCGUGCUAGCGCCGCUCCGAAGCGGCAGGGGCUGAGCCAGCUGCUUCUCGCAGCAUCCCAAGCUUCGCCCUGUACCGGAGCAGCAGGCUGCUCUCCCCCCACUAAACAAGUUAAUUAUUGGAGGCUUCUGCUCCAAGUCCUUGGGGUUUCCUUGGUUUUUCGGGGGAUGGGUAAGAAACGUGAGAGGAAGGGAAAAGCUUUCCCCUUUCACAAAAAGCUGAGGAGCCAGAAGUAGGCAAGACUUGGCACACCUACAUCGUAAGAACUGGGAAAAAGGCAGCCCCCCCUUAACAGCUUUCUCUGCCUCAAAACUCUUAGAAUCACAGAAUAUCCUGAAUUGGAAGGGACCCCCAAGGAUCAUUGAGUCCAACUCAACCCUUCACAGGACACCCCAAGAAUCACACCACGUGCCCGACAGUGUUGUCCAAAUGCUUCUUGAACUCCUCUAUGUUUGGUGUUGUGACCACUUCCCUGGGGACCAUGUUCCAGAGCCCAACCACCCUCCAGGUAGGACCCUGGUUGAUACCGGCCAUUGGGAAUUCAAGGAAAGAUGACAGGCAGUCUGCUACAGACUUCUGAAUGUUACUUUAAUACUGUUGCCCAUAGUCAGCAAGACUAGUGUAGUGGCCACGAAGCCCAUCUCGAGUUGGACUUUGCAUCACUGGAAAGCCUGACUCUGAUGUCUUUUUCUCACCUGUGAUGUUUGUGUGUAUCAGGCCAUUCCAUGACAAACACUUGGCACUUGCUUCAUAGGAGCAUCUCCUGAGGCAAAGGAUUGGUCCCCUUGUCCUACUCUCUUGGGACUGAAUUUUCCUUCUUGGAAAGCUACAGCAGAUAUCUCUCCCCUACGUAAGUCGCACAUACCAAGUUCAGCAGCCUGUGUGCAUGUAGCAGCUUGCAAAAUUGGGCCUUAGUAGUAAGAGUGAAACGUUUUGAGAAGUGAAACAAUUUGAGAGUGGCCCCAGGGAGCCGUUGCUUAUUGCUUUACCGUAGUGUCCAGGACGUUCUCCCUGCCUUCCAAGUAGUGAAGAUGUCACGUUACUCUCCCUGGCCCAUGGUGUUUGUUAGCAAUGAUUUUCAGGCAGAGCUGAUUUGAGAUGCAGCAUUUGUGCCCUAGUGAGGAAAGCUCACACAAUUCAACGUCAAGCCUAUGACUAAAUCACUCUCUCCUGCUGUCAUUUUGGUAAUGAUCAGUUACCAGUUUAAUCUUCAGGCACAAAACUAUCUUUCCUUCUCUUCUCUUCAAUGCCCUUGAACCUUUCUUUAUGAAGAAUUCAGGACAAAUUAGUUCUAACUGAAAUGGAUUCUGCAAGGGGAUGGACUAGGCCACAAGCCCAAGUGUUUGCAGGCACUAGUUUUCUCUGACAGCAUCGUGGAAUAAACACAUCCACCCCAUCAGUACCCUUGCCUUUGGAAAUCAUUGCUAAGUCUGAAAAGGCAUAAGUGACACUUGAAAAUUCAGAACAGUGACUACAGAGCAGGAGUAGGAAUCUCAGCUCCUUCAUAUCUGAAGCUCAUUGAAACCAGCAGAAUGGAGUGGUUAACUAACUCCAUCCAGCGCACCUAACAAGUCUGCAACAGAGUUUCAGGCACAUCACUGCUCAUAUACAAAGCCAUCAGGUGACAACUGUUUCACAAAGAGGUAAGGGGAAAGAAAGCUUAAUAGGUUUUGAUUUUGCUUUCGGAAGAAACAUUUACCAUGCAGAGGUUUUAGCCAAUUUUGUAAAACGUAUGAAAUCUUGGAGCAGAGCUGUGCCCUGACCUUCUCGAGGAACACCGAGGAGGUGGUUAUGUUACAAACUCCGGUUCCCUGAGAUAAUGUAGCAAGUGCUGUAUUUUCAGUGCUUUCUCUGAGAGCUGCCCCCCAAAAUUUCUUCUCUAAGCAAUUUACCAAAUGAGCUGUCCUUUUUCUCAUAGCAGAUUGAGCUACAGUAGUUUUCAUUAAAAUUAUGCACUUUCAGGAAGGAAUUUAAAAGUGUUACAAGGACAACCAGCACAGAAUCAGGUCCAUAACUCAGGGUUUAACAGGUCACACAGAGAAGAUAGACAAAAAUAGGGUGAAGAAUUUAUCUAGCUGUAGUUGUACUCCUCCCCUCAAUCUCAAUAGCCAGCAGCUGGCACCACAGAUUUCAGUGUCAUCCCACAGGCCUGGGCACAGCAAACUCAUCGAAUAGCUCAGUGCCAUUGAAACAAAUUCCUUUGUAUGUGGAAAAACCCUGCUGACUGGUGUGACAGGGCCAUCCCUUCCUGAGAAAACAUCAACUUUGCUAUUGCAGCAGCCAAGCAAGGCAAUAUGGGGCAAGGAGGAUACCUCUCAGUAGUGUCGCAUCAAAGAACCACUCUUUUCCAGUGACCUGAAAUGGAGAAACCACCACAGAAAGAAACACAGGUAUACCUGCACCCCUCACAGGGCUGAACCACUGCCAUUAUUACAAGUCUGACAGAGAACUACAGUGAACAUGAGUGUUUUUCAUUACUACCAGAUCACCAUGAUAGGACUUAAGAGCCAAAGUAGAUGAAAGGUAUUGGCACUGUUACCUCCUGUAGUUUUUUCUUGCAACAGGCACAGAAGGGCAGGAAGGGUUAGUUGCUUAAAUCAUGGCCAUUUUGAGGCUCUUUCAACUGCUCUCUUCCUUGGCUGCUGUGAAGUAUUGGGCGUUUCCUCUCAGUGCACCACAGGGAGAUAAAAUAGUUUUUUCCUACUUGGAUUUCACCCAUCUCUCCUCUCAGAAGUACUUGCCAUGCUUAGUCCAAUGAGUCAUAAAGAACACAGCUGUAUCAGCUAGUGCUUUUUCUUUUCCUCCCAAAACAUUAGAAGAGCUCCACAGUACACACUGCUCCAGGACACCUUUGUGACACCACCUGUGCAAAUCUGGCAUGGGAAGAUCAUCACUGGUGCAGUUUGUACUCUCUAACACUGACAGAUGACUUCCACAAGAAGUCUGGGUAAGUUGCCUGCCAAAACCAUCUUCUAGCAGAAGACACUUACAAAUAAAGCAAAAUUUACUGUCCUCCCUACCUGAUGAAUUCUGGGCACACCAGAGAUCAGCUUCAGUUCUCCAAAACCACCACUGACAUGUAAGUUUCUCUUUGUUUAGAUCAAGGUGAUUCAUAUCCUGAUAGCUCAGCUACCCCAAGAACAGCCAUUCAGCAGGAAGGGCACCUUUACACUCAUCUCAGUGCAGUAUGGGGUUUUUUUCUUAGAGAUUGUGUUAAGCAUAUGGAUAUAACAUGAAACCCAAGCAGUCAAGCAUUUUAUUGGUACUGUCCCUAGAUCUUAGAAAUCUAGCACAGUGAUGAAAUAGGUCCUUUUAAAAUAUUAAAAAAAAAAAAAAAAGAACUCUGAAAUUAUGAUGUUUCUGACUAAUCCAGACCUGAUGUCCAUUCAGUUUCAUGUUUUCGAAUUGAAAAAACAGAUCCUCAAAAAUAGUCCUAUUAUUGAUGAAUACGUGGGACUCUUUACUGGGAGAAGGUUAACAUCAGGUAGAUUCCACUUCCACAUACUGUUUAAGAAACACUAGUGUCAAAACAAGCAUCCAGGUUCACACAAGCUUUGCCAUUUCCUCAGUACUUUAAUAGCUGAGUCCAAUGGCUUGGCAGAAAAUUCGCACACCUGUUGCAGACAGAUAAAAAUCAAAGCCUGUCAGAGCUAUUUUAAGAACGGCUGUCUGAAUCCAACAGCACUUGUAUGGUAAUAAUAAUAAUAAACUCAAAAACAUUUAAAACAAAGCAUUUUAAUAAUUUCUCUAUAACAAAUAAUUAAUCAAAUAGGCCGAAUCCCAUGUCAUCAUCAGAUUCUUCAGAUUCUUCUUUCUUCUCCUCCUUUUUCUCCUCAGCUGAAGGAAAAAAAGACCAAGCAAAUGGUCAGUAUAAGCACUUUUUGCACCACAGAUUUUCACGAUACAAGUUUUGGUGAUCUCAGCUCCUGUAUUAUUGACACUUCAGUCUCCAUGGUUCAUCCCGACCCCUUUCAACAGCCAAACACAAACACCAAGGGGACACAGACACUAUUGCAGGGAUGUGCUUUAUGCCACCAAGUCUUUUUGAUUCUUGGUUCUAAGCCAGACCACUCUUAAGGCAGACAAAGAGCAAAUGCUUCUGAUUGCCCAAAGGAAAAGUAACUCUUCAGUUUACACGUCCAUCACAUACUGAACAGCCAAAGUGAACAAGCCUUGAAAUUUGAACUAAAGGAGCUGUCCAUGCCUCUCCACUCAUACUCACCAGCAGCAGGGGCAGCAGCUGCAGCAGGGGCAGCAGAGCCCCCUCCAGCAGAGACUGCCACCGCUCCCCCAGCCGGCAUGCUGGCGAGUUUUCCGUUACCUGAGAGGGACAGAAGAGAAAGUAUUUACAUGCUCAUCCCAAGCACAGAGGUCAGGGGAAAUGGAAGAGAAAUGACAGUGCAGAAAAAACAGAUCCUGUCUCAUGGACUGAACCUGUCACUAUUUGCUGAAAGGAACAAGAGACUGCAUCCUGAUAAAUAUAUUCUCUGAGAAACACUCAACAGUUUUAAGCUUCACAAAGGCUUAUGCCAAGAACACAGACAGCACAUUAUUGGUAAGUUUUCUUCUGUACACAAAGUGCCCUAUUUUUCCUCCAGAACCUGUCAUAUAAAAAUAGUAGCAAACAUCCAAUUUUGCACACCCAUGAAGACUGUUCUCUGAAUACAGCACAGUAGCCCAGAAAUUGAUAAUAUACCCCUGAAGUACCAUAUUGGCAGCACUGGCUUUCCCCCCUCACCUUUUUUUUUUAAGGGUAUAGAGAACCCUGAAGGCAUAACUGGAUCACACAGGAGAGAAGGGGAAAGACGUAUUUAUGGCAAAGAGGACAGUAUUUUAAACAAAUUCCCCAGCAUGCUAUGAACACUGUUGCAUCUCCUUUGAGACUCCUGAUUUAUGCUCUUAUUUGGAAAGCCUACUAGUUCUCUGGCAUCUGUCUUUCACAUACCAAGGCUCCCUUGGCAUUCAGAGGUCAUGUACACACCGUGUUUGCCUGUAUUCCAAUUUCUGGGAAUCAGUUUCUAAAUAAUUCUGUGUUACUCCAAGCUCUAAUAAAAUAGCAAAGUAAACAAACAUGUUUCAUAUGCAUGUCAGUAUGUUCUGACAAACAAUUUACUUAAAGUAUUAUAGGAGGGGAUAGCAUAAGUGUGUUGUAAGCUCAUGCAUAAUAGCUCUCUUAGGUCUUCAGAUCACGUCGACAUAAGUGUCCACGUGACCUCACAGCAAAGCCUGGCAAAGUCCUGGCAACCUUUAAGCAAAAAUAUGCCUAAAAGUUCCCUUGUGCCUACACACUUGCAAAAAAAUAAAAAUUCAUUAAUCAGAAA